rnacentral:rRNA from 1 species
AGAGUUUGAUCCUGGCUCAGGAUGAACGCUGGCGGCGUGCCUAAUACAUGCAAGUCGAGCGAACGGACGAGAAGCUUGCUUCUCUGAUGUUAGCGGCGGACGGGUGAGUAACACGUGGAUAACCUACCUAUAAGACUGGGAUAACUUCGGGAAACCGGAGCUAAUACCGGAUAAUAUUUUGAACCGCAUGGUUCAAAAGUGAAAGACGGUCUUGCUGUCACUUAUAGAUGGAUCCGCGCUGCAUUAGCUAGUUGGUAAGGUAACGGCUUACCAAGGCAACGAUGCAUAGCCGACCUGAGAGGGUGAUCGGCCACACUGGAACUGAGACACGGUCCAGACUCCUACGGGAGGCAGCAGUAGGGAAUCUUCCGCAAUGGGCGAAAGCCUGACGGAGCAACGCCGCGUGAGUGAUGAAGGUCUUCGGAUCGUAAAACUCUGUUAUUAGGGAAGAACAUAUGUGUAAGUAACUGUGCACAUCUUGACGGUACCUAAUCAGAAAGCCACGGCUAACUACGUGCCAGCAGCCGCGGUAAUACGUAGGUGGCAAGCGUUAUCCGGAAUUAUUGGGCGUAAAGCGCGCGUAGGCGGUUUUUUAAGUCUGAUGUGAAAGCCCACGGCUCAACCGUGGAGGGUCAUUGGAAACUGGAAAACUUGAGUGCAGAAGAGGAAAGUGGAAUUCCAUGUGUAGCGGUGAAAUGCGCAGAGAUAUGGAGGAACACCAGUGGCGAAGGCGACUUUCUGGUCUGUAACUGACGCUGAUGUGCGAAAGCGUGGGGAUCAAACAGGAUUAGAUACCCUGGUAGUCCACGCCGUAAACGAUGAGUGCUAAGUGUUAGGGGGUUUCCGCCCCUUAGUGCUGCAGCUAACGCAUUAAGCACUCCGCCUGGGGAGUACGACCGCAAGGUUGAAACUCAAAGGAAUUGACGGGGACCCGCACAAGCGGUGGAGCAUGUGGUUUAAUUCGAAGCAACGCGAAGAACCUUACCAAAUCUUGACAUCCUUUGACAACUCUAGAGAUAGAGCUUUCCCCUUCGGGGGACAAAGUGACAGGUGGUGCAUGGUUGUCGUCAGCUCGUGUCGUGAGAUGUUGGGUUAAGUCCCGCAACGAGCGCAACCCUUAAGCUUAGUUGCCAUCAUUAAGUUGGGCACUCUAAGUUGACUGCCGGUGACAAACCGGAGGAAGGUGGGGAUGACGUCAAAUCAUCAUGCCCCUUAUGAUUUGGGCUACACACGUGCUACAAUGGACAAUACAAAGGGCAGCGAAACCGCGAGGUCAAGCAAAUCCCAUAAAGUUGUUCUCAGUUCGGAUUGUAGUCUGCAACUCGACUACAUGAAGCUGGAAUCGCUAGUAAUCGUAGAUCAGCAUGCUACGGUGAAUACGUUCCCGGGUCUUGUACACACCGCCCGUCACACCACGAGAGUUUGUAACACCCGAAGCCGGUGGAGUAACCUUUUAGGAGCUAGCCGUCGAAGGUGGGACAAAUGAUUGGGGUGAA